rnacentral:rRNA from 1 species
GACAGAGGGUGCAAAACGUUUGUUCGGAAUUACUGGGCGUAAAGCGCGUGUAGGCGGCUCGGCAAGUCGGGUGUGAAAGCCCUGGGCUUAACCUAGGAAGUGCACUCGAAACUGCCAAGCUUGAGUUCUGGAGAGGAAGGCGGAAUUCUCGGUGUAGAGGUGAAAUUCGUAGAUAUCGAGAGGAACACCAGUGGCGAAGGCGGCUCACUGGACCGGAACUGACGCUGAGGCGCGAAAGCGUGGGGAGCAAACAGGG